CCCUUAGAGUUUGAUCCUGGCUCAGAUUGAACGCUGGCGGAAUGCUUUACACAUGCAAGUCGAACGGCAGCACGGGUGCUUGCACCUGGUGGCGAGUGGCGAACGGGUGAGUAAUACAUCGGAACGUACCCAGUUAUGGGGGAUAACUAACCGAAAGGUUAGCUAAUACCGCGUACGCCCUGAGGGGGAAAGCGGGGGACCGUAAGGCCUCGCGUAAUUGGAGCGGCCGAUGUCUGAUUAGCUAGUUGGUGAGGUAAAGGCUCACCAAGGCGACGAUCAGUAGCAGGUCUGAGAGGAUGAUCUGCCACACUGGAACUGAGACACGGUCCAGACUCCUACGGGAGGCAGCAGUGGGGAAUUUUGGACAAUGGGGGAAACCCUGAUCCAGCCAUUCCGCGUGAGUGAAGAAGGCCUUCGGGUUGUAAAGCUCUUUCGGCAGGGAAGAAACGCUCUGGGUUAAUAACCCGGGGUAAUGACGGUACCUGAAGAAGAAGCACCGGCUAACUACGUGCCAGCAGCCGCGGUAAUACGUAGGGUGCGAGCGUUAAUCGGAAUUACUGGGCGUAAAGCGUGCG
rnacentral:rRNA from 1 species